GUAUACCAGUAUGUAGCGACAGGGAGAAUCAUAAUCACUGAAUCGAAUCGAAUGUCAGUACUCAGUAGGAGAUGGCAGAUAUAUUAACAAGGUUAAACAAUUUUUUCUAUUUAUUUAACGUUAUCGUUGGGUGACUUGGAGAAAGAAGCAAGUUUUUUGACCGUGUAGCCAGUACACCAAUUGAUUUAAAAUGGAAGAAAAACGAGUGGUGCAUUCAAAAUCAAGAGUUGUGAGGAAGCUGUACAGCUGUGAGGAGCGUCUGAGGCCAUGGCUCAACACCUCGGACUCAGACACUAGCCAGUCGGACAGUAACAAUGAAACCUUGGUUAGAACUCACCGCGGUUACUGCAGUGACAGCAGCCCCUGCAAGUAUCUGCCUCCCAUCGGUGUCUUCUGGGACAUCGAGAACUGCCAGAUACCUCGAGGUCGAUCUGCCGUUGCUGUAGCACAAGCAAUCAGAGACAAGUUUUUCGAUGGCUACCGGGAAGCAGAGUUCCUUGUUGUGUGCGAUGUGAAGAAAGAAACGUCACAGGUGAUCCAGGAGCUGAACGAUGCACAGGUGAACAUGAUCCACGUAGGGUCACAGUGUAAAAAUGCGGCAGAUGAGAAGUUGCGGCAGAGCAUCAGAAGGUUUGCCGACAUCCAUGGCAGUAUGGCGGCAAUCGUGCUCAUCUCUGGGGACAUCAACUUUGCCCCUGACCUCUGCGACUUAAGGCACAGGAAAAAAAUACACGUCAUCUUGGUCCACAGCGACAGUUGCUCAGAGUCACUUAUAUUGUGUGCCAACCAACACUUUCACUUCUCCGCUAUUGUUGCUAACUUACCAUUCCGUGGCGAAGUGAAGUCUGUAUACCAGCCAGCAGAGUUGAGAGUGAGUGCGUUACCGCUAGCCUACGAUCCGGCUAAGGUUCGCUUGAAGCUCAAGCGAUUAACUGAGAAUUGUGGAGGGAAAGUUAGUGAAGUUGUUGGGGACAAUGCUAUGGUUCGUUUCACCUCCAUUGAAGCUGCAAUGAGAGCACACAAGAGAAUGGAAGGUGAGAAGAUAUUUGGGUCACAAAUAGUGAUCGGACAACCAACCGUUGUUAAAAACCAAAAAUUGAAAGAGUCGCCUAUUAAAGGUUAUCACAGACGGACCAAUGCCAGAAGAGAUGAUGAUAGGUGGAAUAUACCAGGUUUUGGGGAACAGACAGAAGGAACCUUCUAUAGUCAUUCAUGGAAUGAUACACUUCCUAAUUGUUCUAGGUUUUAUGGAAAUAUCCAGUCACAGAGGAGGCCGUUUUACAACCAAGAAAAUUUACCUUUGUCAGCUAGACAUUUUUUUAGUACAACUCCUCAACAAGUCAGGUUAAAACAGACUAGUCGUCAAAUAUUAGGAAAGAGAGGAGAGAAUACUUCGGAUAAUUUCUUAACUAUGCCAGCCGCAAGCGGGAGACAUUCCUUAGAUUCUAUGCUGGAUGGAGCGGAUUUUGAAGGGGAAACAAAACCAAUCUGGACAGUCUCACGGAAAGAUGAAUGGACAUCGCAGUGCAGUCAGGAGAUACGCAAGUGCCGAACACCGUCACCACAUCUACAGUUCACAGUGAAUACGUCCCUUCCUCCGCCUCCUAUUAUCAAUCUUCCCCAGAAAGAUGAUACCCAGCCUGUACUUCAGCCAAUUCCAGUGAAGCCGGUUACAAAACAGACUACAGACUCGGUUGAUAUGAUUGUCACCAACUUGGAUCAGAGUAUUGAUAUUGUACAGAUGAAAAAUGAAUUGGCUGCAGCUUUCAGCAAAUGCUGUUCGGUGAUGAACGUGUCUGUAUUCCUGCAAACGGAGGGAACGCUUGCUGCCAUUGUCAGAGUACGCUCACAAAUGGAUGCAGCAAACGCACUUAAGACAAUGGAGAAACGUAUGAUUGGCCUGAGACAAAUUAGUGUUGCACUGGCACCUGCUACACAGGAGUACACAGCAGCCACCGGUGUUGACAGUAACAAACUUGUGUCCUCUCCUAUUUUGCCCUGUAUGCUGCUUGAAGGAGGGAAGCAGCCAGAUCUGUCGCGGUGUGCAGUGCACAGCCGAGAUGUAACAGAGAGUGUGGCAGAAAGUGUACUGAGUGUAACAAUACGACUUGGUGACCUGGCAGUGCGACUUGCAGAGUUAAUCAAGUCACACGACAACCACCUGCCACUAGCCAGUUUGCCGGACUGCUAUGCUGCAAAGUACCAGCAGUUCUGCCUGGGUGGACCCAGCGUACCACUGGAGCACCUAGUAACUUGCGUCCGCAACGUAGAACUCGUCAAGACUGCUUGCGGAAAACACCUACAAUUUAGCUCACUUUCAGUAAAAAAACAGACGAUGCAGGGAGGAGUCACCACUCUCCUGGGCCAGCUGGGACAGGAGCUCACAGAACUGUUGAGGAACCAAGUGGGGUGCCAGAUAAUGUUUAACCGCUUGGCACCGGCAUACCGCCAGCACUUUGGGAAACAUAUUAGAGUCGCUGACUAUGGCUGUUGCAAACUAAUAGAUCUCUUAGAGAACCUGCCGGAUGUCAUCCAGGUGAUGGGGGAAGGCAAUGGAAGAAUGGUGACCCUGACACACCAAGCUCAGAUAGAACGGUUUUCUACAGAUCUACUGAAGCUAGUGAAGUCACAGUCCAGCAAGCAGCUGAGCCUGCAGGAAUUGCCAACUGUUUGGGAGCGCACUCUAGGCCACAAACUGGAAUCUACAGACUAUGGACUGUGUUACACAGAAGAUUUGUUGAGUCAAGUGCCGGAUAGCAUAUUACUGAUAACUAAACACCAAGAUGAGACAAUCAUAUCGAUCCCAAGGAGGCCUCAGACACUGUCGGAAAGAGAAAGAACCAGACAUUUUGCUGUGCAGGUAGUAGAAUUGCUUUGUAAGACUCCGCACUUCACACUGGAUUUCACCAAGUUUAUCCCAACUUAUCACCAGCAUUUCAAGAAGCAGUGCAAAGUCGCUGAUUACGGUUUCACCAAAUUAGUAGAACUUUUUGAAGCGAUCUCAUACGUUGUUAAGGUAGAAGGGGAAGGUGAGAACGGGCGACAGCUGACACUAACACUGUCUGAGAGGUUGAAGCUCCUGUCACAACAGAUCGCAGAUUUGGUAGUCCCCAGGUUCCCUCCGGGAUUGUCAUUACACAACCUCAACUCUGCCUACCUUUGGCAGUUUUCCACAGCUCUUAGGCCGGCAGACUUUGAGUGUUCUACACUGUCUGAACUCAUCAACAAAUUGCCCACUGUCAAGGUGGUUACGUCGGGAGGCUGCGUGAUGGUGAUCCCAGCGUCCUGUAGCUGGGGUAAGAUCCAACUCUUGCGAACUCUGCGUAUACUCUGGGAACGCAGCAGUGGACGAAUGAACAUCACAGAAUUCGAGCAGCUUUACCUCCGCUAUUACCAAAACCCUCCAAGUAGACUCAGCCUAUUUACAGAGUUGAAAUCUGUUGUGAAGGUGACAGAAGACUCCAACAUCCAGUUAACCUCUCUUCAGCUGUUUGCCAGGGAUGUGUACCGUCUCCUAUACAGCUAUGAUGGACGUCUGGCUCUCCCCAUGUUGGACCCUGCCAUGAAACGAGUACUAGACACCACUGUAACGCCAGGGCAGUAUGGCUGCCAAACUGUGGAGGAACUGCUCAAAGCUGUUGACCAUGUUGUACAUAUCACUGGGAGAGGCAACAAGAGACUAUUGGUGUUGAAUACUGAGCUUGCUGAAGUUGGAAUUCCAGUGCCAUCAGACUUUGGGAAGAUUUUAAGCCAAAGUAGUGAAAUAACAAGCCCAAGUCCAUCAGACGUACAAACACACCAGGCGAGCUCACAGCAAUUACUGGAAGGUCUCUACAACAAGAAAGCCAGCUCACAAAAGGGUCUAACACUUCUCUCCCCGGCCGAGUUUUUGCAGCCCUGUAAUGCCCUUCCAUUGCAGUUCAUCCCUUCUCCUCCGAGCCCCUCUGCCCUCCCCAAGCCGGGAAACUUCGAUCUUACACAGGACAAUAAGCAAAGUUGGAACUUACUAAUGGAAGAGCCGGUGGCCUCAAGGUCUAAUGCAUCGGACUUUAGAUCUGAGUUACAGAUAGCGUGAAGGAACUUUAUGAAAUCAUUGUAAACCAAUGUCCAGAAUCCGACCAAAAUAAACGUAAAAUGCGUUUGGCUCCUCAUUUCCAGUUGCCCAUUCAACUUAAAUGAGAACCAUGCAGUUCUGCCAACCUAACUUGUCUUUCAUCUUAAUAUCCCCAAAUUGUAGAUCAGGGGACCAUCACAGGUUUACCUACCAACUUUGAUACUUUUAUAAGAAAGUAAUUUUUUAAACUGUAUUUUUACCAAAUUGUGUAUAUCAUUAUUUUAACUGUUGAUUUCGUGAUUUUUGUAUUAAGAAUUUUAUUAGUAAAAAGAUAUGAUCAUUUUAAAGAUUAUUAGAUUUUAGCAGUGAAGAAUACAAUUUAAUGUGAUCAUGAUAUACCGGUGUGUGUACAGGUUCUUCUUCUGUACUUUAUUAUAUAUUAUGUGAUUUAGGCUUAUAUAUUAGUUUUUUUUUUAUUAAUAGUACUUAUUUUAAUUAAAACACUCGGUAAAAUGCCAAUAUUGUAAAAUGAUUUCCAUUGUCAAUUGUAGUGUGUACAACUAGUCUUUCUUUAUAAACAUUUAUUAUUGUAUGUAUUACUAUUCUUAGUGCAAUCUUAAGUGUUUUUUCCUUUAUGUACAAUAAUGUUUCUUAUUGUGUUUCACAACAAACCUAACACUUUUCUUUUUUAGAUGGAAAAUUUUACAUGAUAAAGUGUGCACUAGUUUAAUGAUGAAAAAAUAGUUCAUUAAAAAAAAAAUUUCUGGAUCAAUUUAGUGAAUAAAUAUCUCCAUUAGAUGUUGAAAAUGAAGUAAAUAAAAAUGAUUUAUAAGCCUAAAGUUUUGAUGCUUUGAAUUAUAAAAUAUUGCAGUUAUCAUCAUGUCAAUUUCCCUAACCCAAAGUAAUACUUCUAAGUUUGAAGGAGGGGGAAAUGUUGUGAAAAAUACAUUUUUUCAGAAAAUGCUCAAGAAUGUCAAGUAAAAAUAUUUAUUACAUUUUUUACAAUUUUCUUAAAAAUUGAAGAUAAUAAUUUAGUUUAUUAGUUUAGCAUUGGUGAUAGUUUCUUAAUUUUAGGAGUAUUCAUAAUGUCUUAUUAAUUAAUUGAUCAUGGAUAUAAGUAAGAUUCGCUUACAAAGUGUAUUUUUCACAACAUUACUUACUUCUAUGUUGUUGAAUUUCAAUCAAAACUUAAGAAGAUUAAUUUUGUUAAUAUAUGAUUCAGUUUACCUUUGUAUUGGAAAAUGGUUUUCUUAAGCAUUGUAAUUUUUUAUUGUUAACCUAGUAACUGACACCAUUCUUUCAAAAAAUAGUUGAGAAAGUUUUGCAGGUAAAUUGGGUUUAAAGUAGUAAUUAGAAUAACGUCUAAUUAUUACUAUUGUACAUUAAAAACAACAUUUUCUAUAACUGUGUAGUUCCUCUUAAUUAAUAACUGCAUCUGAUUAGUAACUGUUAAUUUGUUUAUUGUAAGGCUAUUGUAACAUAUAACAAAUUAUCAACAAUAAAUCAACAUUCUAAAAAAGAAAUAUUUGUAAGUAUAGGAGUUCACAGAUUGGUGUGUAAAUAAAAAAAUUAACAUAACUAUAUCAAAAAAGAAAAAUAAUUAAUCUUUUAGUGCUGUUUUAUCUAGUAACAGUUCGGGUAGAAAUAUUCUCCAAUGUUUCUUGAACAAACAAACAAAGAACAUUCUAGAAGCUCCUUUCUUAUUGAAAUUAUUUAUAAAUUUGAAAAUAAACACUCCAAUAAUAUAAUUUUUAUUUCUGUGAAGCGUUUUGUGCUCAAGGAACACAUCAUCAGACCCACAUAAAUGAAUAAAAGAACCACUUUUAUUCAUUUAUGUGGGUCUGAUGAUUCCUUGAGCAUGAAGGGCCUCAUAGAAAUAAAAAGUAUAUUAUUGGAGUGUUUGUUUUUAAAUUUAUAACAAACAGAGUGGUUAAAAUUACUUUAAUAAUAAUUACUUUAUUGUAGGUACUCUUAAUUGUAAACAAUACAGAUUCUUGGCAGAGAAUAUUACCAAAGUAAUAUUUUGGUUUUUACACAAAUAAUUCCAAUCAGUAAUGGUAAAUGACUAAAUUGACAAUAUUUUGAUUUAAAAUUAAGUACAUUUAUGUAUUAUUUUAUGUUUGAGUCUUUAUUGCUUCUUUAUUCUUCAACUGACAAAGGAUUAUGUGAUAAUAAAUCUUUAAAUUAAGUUUAUAUUUAAAGUUUAAGCUUGAGUGUGAGUCAUUAUUCUCAUGAUGUACUAAAAAAUCCAGCUAUUUUACUAAUAAGUGUAUCAAAAAGUGCCAGACCAAAUUUUGUAGUGUUGCUAAAGGUUAAUAAAACUGGUGUUGUUUUUAUUUGAUAAGUCAUACAAAGAUUUUGUUCCUUAUAAACUAGGGAACAAAAUUAACUCAUAUUAACUAUAAUCACAUUAAAAAAAUAAAAUAUACUCUAUACAUUGUUUAUUCAACCAUUUUGAAAUUUUGUAUAGAUAAAACAAAUUACCUAAAUCAAAAUCUUACAUGUUUCAUGAUAGUUAAUUUAAUUUACUUUAAAAGGAUUACAUUUAGUAGCUGUAUAUAUAUAUAUAUAUAUAUAUAUAUAUAUAUAUAUAUAUAUAUAUACUUUUUCUUUUAUUUAUAAUAAUUUUUUGGAAACAUGAUCGUCCAUGUAGCUUCCAGUUUAAUCAGUAGCACAUCCAAGUACUUUUUAUAUAAUCAACUUUAAAAAAAUUAAAAUCACAAAGGGAAUAUGGAAAUACCUUAUAAUGUAUAUACAUCGACACUAUCUUCAUCAACAUUACUCCUUGUGUUAUUACUAACAAAUGAUCUUGAAUGAUCUAUAAUACAAUAAUAAAAUGAAGUACAAUUUAAUCAUUUGAAUAUAGACUACAAAGAGAAUAGAUAAAAACAUUUCAGAAAUAGCUGACUUGAUCAUCAGUGAGUGUAUGACUAACAUGAUAUGCUCAUUGUUUUGAUACGAUUUAGUCUUUGAUUUAUAUUCUGUUAUGUCUCAAAUUAUAAAUAAACAAGGGUUUGUUUCUUUAUGGAAAAGUGAUGCAAAUUAAAAGACAAAAUAUGUAUUUGAACACUUCCUAUUAUCAGACGUUUCGUAAAAACAAACAUUGGUACUUUUUGCACACUUCUAAACAUCUGGUUACCAGAUGUUGGUACUGAAAGGUUUAAGUCACAGCCUGUCUAAAUCCGUUAGUCUACUCACAAGUCAGUUUAAGGUUAAAUAACACUAUAAAACUCUUUUUAUACAUAUAGCUCCCUUUCCUGUUCAAACUGGAUGUAACACAUAAAUAUUGCAACAUACUAAAGUAAUGAUAUUUUCAUCCUCCUCUCUCAUUUAAUUAACCAAGUCUCAUUACCUACAAUAUCUUCUUCCCUAACUUUAUUUCAAACAUCAAGAUUUUAUCAUGCUUCCAUAGCAAUAAAUAUUCUUAUUUAUAUAAUUAUUUUAACAAUACAAAUCAGUAAAUCACUUUAAAAAAUUCCACCCUAUAUCUUUUAUAUUGUAUGUUAUAUGUUUAAUGUAACUUAUGUUUUUCAUUAUCUGGAUUUCAAAUAAUAAUACUUAAAGUGUUGGGUUUGUUGUACUUUUAUUAAAGAACAUUAAAACAAUUUCACAAGUUUGUUUGCUUGUAUAUAGUGUUUUACAUUGUAACAGAUGAAUAAAAUUUAAAAUAGGCCUACUUAUUACCAGUUCAAUACUUUAUUUCAGCCAACUCUUUAAUUUUUGAGAAUAAUAUUGUAUUAUUUAUCAUUUUAUCUUGAUAAUGUAUAAAAAUACAACUAAAUAUUUAAUAUUAUAAUAAAGUAGUUGGAGUUGUAUUUCUAGAAAUAAAUUGAGAGACUAAGAUAAUGGUGCAUUUUAAAUAUAUAUUAAGUUUAAAGAAUAAUGUAAGGAUCAGAAACAAUUAAAGAGUAAGAUUGUAAUUUUUAGAUAAGGUAAUAUUCCUAAAUGCCCAUUUCCAAUUAUUAUUUACCAGUAGAUAUUGAUUUAAAAAUAUAGUCAAUAUUGAGAUCCAUCUUAUUAUUGAUUUGUUAUGUUUUUUCAAUUGUAUAUUGUGUAAAUGUAAUAAAGACCAAUUGUGUAAAAUAUUUUUGUCAUAGACAGAAUUAGUUUUCCUACCGCUUAAGUUUUGGGUAUAAAAAUAUCACUCAGCUGAAAUUCUGUCCUUGAACAAUAUUAUUUUUAUUUAUUUUAAAAAUAAAAAACAAUAUUUCUUGUUUUGAAACAGUUUGUUAUAUUACAUUUGUUCUCUAGUAAGAUGAAGCUGUGACCGACCAGGGGAACAUUCAAAUUUGUACAUAUUAAGUGUUUUUGAGUUCCAUUCUUCGUAGUACAAACUGUUGAUUUCCUACAACAUUCUGUUGUGAUAAUGAUGUACAUUAUUAAAUCAAGAAUAAAUAUUUUAUUAUCUGUGCUUUUACAUGGAUUAAUUAAUGUUGUAGCUUUACAUGAUUUCAUUUAAAAGAAAAGAGUGGACAUUAAAGAUGGCAUGAUUUUACUAUUGUAGGUUAGCGGAUGGAAACGGUUUUUGUCGAUAUCAUGUAAAGCAUUGUACGAUACAGAAUACUGCCAAAAAUACAGGAUUUUGUAAAAUAUGUACAAAACCUAUUAAUAGCUUUAGCAUUUAGUUUAAAUGUAAAGCUGUGGAUGUAUAAUGAAUGAGAGGUACAACAAGAAUUUUCCGGUGUUGUUAAUUUCUGAAAAUGUUUGAAUUUGGUAGUUUUGAAAAAAAAAUUUAAUUAAAACUAUAAGAAAUCACUAAUAUGUGUUGCAUCUAAAAUUGUCAAAUUAUAAUAUAUAAUUAUAUUAAUGAUACACAUUUUUGUAUUAUAAUAAUUUUAUUUAAGCAAAUACUAAUUAUUUAUUCUUGUAUUGUUUAUUAUACAUCCCACAGUAUAUGAUCUCCUAGUAAUAAGACAUAGUUUUAAUCUCAUAAAUAUGUUAUUGUCAGCUUUUGUACAAUUUAUAAAACUGUUAUGUUUUAUUUCAUUAACAGCAGAACACGUGGGCAUUCUUAUGGGAUUGUAUUAAAUAUGAUAAAAUGACCAAUGUGGUUGUGUUUUGCAUGAAAUAUAGUACAAGUGUAUAAGAAAUUAUUGUAAGCAAAAUUAUUUGAAUUAAUGUUGUGGUGGUUCAAGUUUUAUGUUAGACUUGUGGACUGUUUUGUAGAAAGAUAGUUAAAAAAAUCAAAUGAAGUUCAAUGUUAUUCUAGUUAUAUUAAAUAUCACUAAGUUUAAAUUUGA